rnacentral:rRNA from 1 species
GAUGAACGCUGGCGGCGUGCCUAAUACAUGCAAGUCGAGCGAACAGACGAGGAGCUUGCUCCUCUGACGUUAGCGGCGGACGGGUGAGUAACACGUGGAUAACCUACCUAUAUGACUGGGAUAACUUCGGGAAACCGGAGCUAAUACCGGAUAAUAUAUUGAACCGCAUGGUUCAAUAGUGAAAGUCGGUUUUGCUGUCACUUAUAGAUGGAUCUGCGCCGCAUUAGCUGGUUGGUAAGGUCACGGGUUACGAAGGGAAGCAGGCGUAGCCGACCUGAGAGGGGGGUCGGCCACACGGGAAGGUGAACGCGGACCAGAGUCCUACGGGAGGCAGCAGUAGGGAAUCUGCCGCAAUGGGCGGAAGCCUGACGGAACAGCGCCGCGUGAGUGAUGAAGGUCUUCGGAGCGUAAAACUCUGUUAUUGGGGAAGAACAAAUUUGGAAGUAACUGUGCACGUCUUGACGGUACCUAGUCAGAAAGCCACGGCUAACUACGUG